UUUCCUUGACAACUUCAGACCCUUCCCUUUGGGGCCAAGCAGCAAGAACAAGAGUGGUAAAGUUGCAGAGGGGUCUGCGGGGGCGUGUGUGAUUUCUGCUAGAUCACAGAGCGCUGAAGACUCCGGAUCUCUGGGACUUGGUGGGCAGCUACACAAAAGCAUCGUCUGACCUCGAUAUGACAAAAGGUGACCGGAGAAAUACAGGGAGUGACGGGGUCAAAAGUCUUCUCUGCCCACGGGGGCAAAAGUCUUCUCUGCCCACGGGGUCUGUCUCAGGGCUCUGCUCUGCCUGCAGCCAAGAUUAACUUGAAUUGGUGACUUGAGUAUAGACUGACUUCGGCCAAGUCAGAGCAGCCUGAUCUGUGCCUGGAUAGUUUGGGCGACACUGCCGUAUUUGAGCCACUGCUUGACCACUUUAUUGCACAAGCAAAGCCGCUGCUCCAGCCCCUCCUCGAGGACAAACCUAGUCUUACCUGUCCGGUGGGAAAAUGCACCUUUAUGGUGCCAUACAUGAAAAAUGUGACACCUAGGGUUUUCAACUCCGCCUACAUUAAACUUGAGCCCGCCAAGUCACAGCUCCAGGAUGUGUGAGAAUAGUGGUCCAAGUGCACCAGCGGCAACUCUACCAGCUCAGACCAAAGCACUUCUCAGAGCUGAAACCAAGGGGGAAACUGUCUAGGCAUAGUUUGCUGCAGUCACACUAUUGGCCUCUUUAUGGAACAAAAUGACCCUUCUUGGGCAGGUAGGUAAACUACUUUAAGCAUGUGGAGACACCUCAUUGUCCCAGGACUACUUCAUUAUUAACAGGCAAAACUCAAAAAAUGCAGAGUAAACAUCUUCCCCUAGGGGGAAUGCAAGAUGAACACUCAGAGCCUAACAGCAACCUGUCUGGCUUUCCCCAGAUAGGAUUAAGGAAUCUGAAAAGGUUUGCCAUAAAUGACCAUCAAUUUAAGUUCCCUCAGGAGUUUCAACCAGACUUAAGUAACCAGGAAAUCCAGAAGUUAGACUGGACAGUGACAAGAAGACAUUCUAGAAGUAGGAUGCAUAAGACUAAACCAAAGGAAAAAGAAAUGUCAAGGCCUAGCAUUUAAAGACCCAGAUGCUUGUCAGCAUUCAAUAAACGUCUAUGAAAUAAAUGAACGCUUAACACACUAACAUCAUAUGCUGCUCUCAAGAAGAACAUGAAAAUACUUUCGUCACAGCAAACUUUAAUUUUCUGUUCAGUAAUUGGACUUCUCAAUUAUUAUCAUUUUCCUAGUCCUCUCCUUCAGAAAGUACUUACACUGCAAAUUUAGAAGUCAGUGCAUUUACUAUAUUGAUAAUUAAAACCAAUUACAUGUAUUUCAAAAGGGACAAGAUUUUCUAAGGGCCUUAACACUCCCUGGUUUACAAAGGAAUGUGCAUUUUAAGAUGUCAAAUUAAUGGACUUGAAUGGUAUUAAGAAAUUAUUUAUUGACUAGAUAUCUAGAAAUAAUGUACCUUUCAAAACUGCCUACUCUUGUGAUUAAGGAUGAACUUGGGAAUAAUGAGAAUCUGCUUAAUUAAUUUCACCUGUAAUUUUUGCUCAUUGAACUAAAUAUUCUGACUUAGUGUUACAUACUAUUUACUAUUUACUUUCAACAGGGAUGUUUUCAUUAGAACCUGUAUGAAUCAAAGCCAAGAAAACAAACUGCUUUGUCCUUAAUUUCCAGAUGAAAACCAUCUCUCCCUACUCUAGCCACUGAAAUCCUAUAGUCAAAUCCAGCCUCAGGACAUAAGCAAGAAAGCAAUGGAAUAACAUUUAAAGGAAUUCCAGAUAGCCCUGGUUGACUCCAAAAUGACCUGAUUGUUUGGUCCUUUGGUCUAAGUUGGGUGUAGAUAUCCCCAGGCUACUCUUUCUAAACAGCUCUCCCUCAUUUCACUGUGGUUUUUGUCUUGCUUCCCAUCUAUAAUAAAACUAAAUUUUAUGCUA